rnacentral:rRNA from 1 species
GGUCCGGCCGGGCCUUUCCCUCUGUGGAACCCCAUGCCCUUCACUGGGUGUGGCGGGGAAACAGGACUUUUACUGUGAAAAAAUUAGAGUGCUCCAGGCAGGCCUAUGCUCGAAUACAUUAGCAUGGAAUAAUAGAAUAGGACGUGUGGUUCUAUUUUGUUGGUUUCUAGGACCGCCGUAAUGAUUAAUAGGGACAGUCGGGGGCAUCAGUAUUCAAUUGUCAGAGGUGAAAUUCUUGGAUUUAUUGAAGACUAACUACUGCGAAAGCAUUUGCCAAGGAUGUUUUCAUUAAUCAGGAACGAAAGUUAGGGGAUCGAAGACGAUCAGAUACCGUCGUAGUCUUAACCAUAAACUAUGCCGACUAGGGAUCGGACGAUGUUAUUAUUUGACUCGUUCGGCACCUUACGAGAAAUCAAAGUGCUUGGGCUCCAGGGGGAGUAUGGUCGCAAGGCUGAAACUUAAAGAAAUUGACGGAAGGGCACCACCAGGGGUGGAGCCUGCGGCUUAAUU